rnacentral:misc_RNA from 1 species
AACCUAGCACACCUGCGGUGUGUACCUGCGGAAGGAUCAUUACCGAGUUUACAACUCCCAAACCCCUGUGAACAUACCUAUAUGUUGCCUCGGCGGAUCAGCCCGCGCCCCGUAAAACGGGACGGCCCGCCGCAGGAUCCACAAACUCUGCUUUUAUUGUAACUUCUGAGUAACAAAACAAAUAAAUCAAAACUUUUAACAACGGAUCU